UACGGAGGAUGCAAGCGUUAUCCGGAAUGAUUGGGCGUAAAGCGUCCGCAGGUGGCUGUGUAAGUCUGCUGUUAAAGAGUGAGGCUCAACCUCAUAAAGGCAGUGGAAACUACAUGGCUAGAGUGCGUUCGGGGCAGAGGGAAUUCCUGGUGUAGCGGUGAAAUGCGUAGAGAUCAGGAAGAACACCGGUGGCGAAAGCGCUCUGCUAGGCCGCAACUGACACUGAGGGACGAAAGCUAGGGUAGCAAACGGG
rnacentral:rRNA from 1 species